AUUGAACGCUGGCGGCAGGCCUAACACAUGCAAGUCGAGCGGAUGAAGGGAGCUUGCUCCUGGAUUCAGCGGCGGACGGGUGAGUAAUGCCUAGGAAUCUGCCUGGUAGUGGGGGAUAACGUCCGGAAACGGGCGCUAAUACCGCAUACGUCCUGAGGGAGAAAGUGGGGGAUCUUCGGACCUCACGCUAUCAGAUGAGCCUAGGUCGGAUUAGCUAGUUGGUGGGGUAAAGGCCUACCAAGGCGACGAUCCGUAACUGGUCUGAGAGGAUGAUCAGUCACACUGGAACUGAGACACGGUCCAGACUCCUACGGGAGGCAGCAGUGGGGAAUAUUGGACAUUGGGCGAAAGCCUGAUCCAGCCAUGCCGCGUGUGUGAAGAAGGUCUUCGGAUUGUAAAGCACUUUAAGCUGGGAGGAAGGGCAGUAAGUUAAUACCUUGCUGUUUUGACGUUACCAACAGAAUAAGCACCGGCUAACUUCGUG
rnacentral:rRNA from 1 species